rnacentral:rRNA from 1 species
CCUAAUACAUGCAAGUCGAGGGGUAACAGAGGGUGCUUGCACCCUGCUGACGACCGGCGCACGGGUGAGUAACACGUAUGCAACCUACCUUUUACUGGGGGAUAGCCAAGAGAAAUUUUGAUUAAUACCCCAUACUAUCUAAUCAUUUCCUGAUGAAUAGAUGAAAGUUUCGACGGUAAAAGAUGGGCAUGCGUCCUAUUAGUUUGUUGGUAAGGUAACGGCUUACCAAGACUACGAUAGGUAGGGGUCCUGAGAGGGAGAUCCCCCACACUGGUACUGAGACACGGACCAGACUUCUACGGGAGGCAGCAGUAAGGAAUAUUGGACAAUGGAGGAAACUCUGAUCCAGCCAUGCCGCGUGCAGGAAGAAUGCCUUAUGGGUUGUAAACUGCUUUUAUACAGGAAGAAAACUUGGUAUGUAUACCAACUUGACGGUACUGUAAGAAUAAGGAUCGGCUA